AGCACUUGUGUGUGCUGUUGGCAACUGCUCUGCAAAAGAAGGAAAGACAGGUGCAAAAAUCAAUCCUGUUUUGCAACCCAGCACCCAUUGUUCAGUGUGCGUUUUGAUACAUAUAAAAAGGAACGUG